rnacentral:rRNA from 1 species
CCUACGGGGGGCUGCAGUAAGGAAUAUUGCUCAAUGGGAGAAAUCCUGAAGCAGCAACGCCGCGUGAGGGAUGAAGGGCUUUUGCUCGUAAACCUCUGUAGUGAGGGAAAAAAUUUCCACUCUGUGGAAUAUGAUGGUACCUCAAAAGUAAGCCCCGGCUAACUACGUGCCAGCAGCCGCGGUAAUACGUAGGGGGCAAACGUUGUCCGGAUUUACUGGGUGUAAAGGGUGCUCAGGCGGUUUUGUAAGUCAGAAGUGAAAUCCUAGAGCUUAACUCUGGAACUGCUUUUGAUACUGCAAGGCUUGAAUGUGGAAGAGGAGGAUGGAAUUUCUGGUGUAGCAGUGAAAUGCGUAGAUAUCAGAAAGAACACCAGUGGCGAAGGCGGUCCUCUGGUCCACUAUUGACGCUAAAGCACGAAAGCGUGGGGAGCAAACAGGAUUAGAUACCCCUGUAGUC